rnacentral:lncRNA from 1 species
UCAGCACGGCUGAGCUUUUUCUCAACCUGUUUCCUAUCAAGAAUAGAACCUGAUGAAAAUGACCUCCUCAAGAGAGAGACUCUCAAGCAGGGCUUCUUAAAGUUGGAAAUCCCCACAGAUCACCUGGGGGGCUUGUUAAAAUGCAGAUUCUGACUCUGUAGGUCUGGGGUAGGGCCUGAGAUUCUGCAUUUCCAACAAGCUCCAAGAUGCCCCUGCUGCUGGUCUAGGAACCACAGUUUGAGUAGCCAGGAUCUAAGUGUCUCUUGAUGUCAGACUCUUCAGCUAUGAUUACUGAACAAUAAUUGGGCUAAUGGUGUUGGGUUUAAGACCCAGCAUUUUCCACAAGCAUGUAUACUAUAUGUACCUCACUUUGGAAAGGAUGGUCAAACUCUGGACCCACAGGCAGAUAAUGGCCAACUGGAAAAUUUCUUUAUGCAUCUUCUCAGAGAUCUCUUCUGAUGGAUCUGAAAAAAGGAAGAUGAACUUUAGAAAUAUAUUGUCAAAAUAAAAUCAAUCCUCAAGAAAUUAUGAUCCGGAGUGCAUUAUCCCCUCCUUCGGGAAGAAUGGACAUCUUUACAAGAUUAAGUCUACCCAACGAGGAACAUGAUUGAGGCAACAUAGAAAUCAAAAGAAAAUUCAAUGAACAAACCAUAAUGUUGAGAGUGUUUGCAGUGCAUUAAGUUCAGCCACCAUUUGUUGGAUACUUACUGUAUGAGUCACGAACUUAAGUGCACCUAUAGACCAAGCAGAUAAAUUAGUGAACCAGGGCAGGUGUAUGGAAAAUCAAUUGCCAGAAAUGUAAUCAAGCUUUCUUUGUUUCUAUAAAAUACAGUAUAAAGAGAUAACAUAAUAAACACAGCUAUACUAAUGGAGAUCAUAUUUUACCAUACACGUGGGGAAAUGCAAAUUGAAAAUAGACAUAGUUAAUUAUUAAUUAUUUUCUUUCAUGUUUCAUUACUCUUUUGAUUUGGAACUGGAAAACAGAUACCUUAACUUCUGUGAAAACAUGAAGUGUCAAGUCUUAUAUUUCACAUUGCAAGGUACAGGGUAGAAUUCAGCCUUGAAUCCUCUAACUGAUUUUGAUACUUAAUUGAGUUCAGUUUCAUAACAGAAAAAAGCUCUUCGUAAAUUGAUAGUUCAUUUUGAACAUGGAUAGGAUCACUGCACAAUGUUUUUAUGUUUAGGGUAAAUAAACGCCAUUAUUUCCCUUUUAG